CCUACGGGGGGCUGCAGUGGGGAAUAUUGGACAAUGGGGGCAACCCUGAUCCAGCCAUGCCGCGUGUGUGAAGAAGGCCCUCGGGUUGUAAAGCACUUUCAGUGAGGAAGAACGCCUGGUGGUUAAUACCCAUCAGGAAAGACAUCACUCACAGAAGAAGCACCGGCUAACUCCGUGCCAGCAGCCGCGGUAAUACGGAGGGUGCGAGCGUUAAUCGGAAUUACUGGGCGUAAAGCGCGCGUAGGUGGCUUGAUAAGCCGGUUGUGAAAGCCCCGGGCUCAACCUGGGAACGGCAUCCGGAACUGUCAAGCUAGAGUGCGGGAGAGGAAGGUAGAAUUCCCGGUGUAGCGGUGAAAUGCGUAGAGAUCGGGAGGAAUACCAGUGGCGAAGGCGGCCUUCUGGACUGACACUGACACUGAGGUGCGAAAGCGUGGGUAGCAAACAGGAUUAGAUACCCGGGUAGUC
rnacentral:rRNA from 1 species